rnacentral:sRNA from 1 species
AGAUCGAGGCUGCCUCCCCCCUCAGCCGGCAGCACAUUCCGCCGCCGUUGCCGCCGCCCGGCCCCACAGUUGUCUUUGCCGGAGCUGCAGUCGCGCUGGGGUUAGGGCGGGGGGGCGGGCGGGGAGAGAAGGCCGCGGCGGAGGCAGGUGAGAGGAGGAAGGAAGCGGCGGCUCGGCGGGCACAGCAGCUCAGGCGGCGGCCCGGUUCCUGGGAGUGUCGGUGCGGCGCGGUGGUUGGGGCGGAUCCCGCGGGGCCCGGGCGGGGGAAGGAGUCACCGGCCCGGCCAUGGCGGACAACGAGAAACUGGACAACCAACGGCUCAAGAAUUUCAAGAACAAAGGCCGCGACUUGGAGGACAACUUCUCCGUUGAAAAAAACACCCCCGGCGUGAGAGGCCAUCCUGGUGAUGCUAACAGUGCCUUCCAGCGGCCUGUGUUUUACUCUGGAUAUAGCUGAUUCAAGAUGUGGCUCACGGUGUGCCCUCUUCCAGGCAAAGGAUACCCCUUAUUUCAGCUUGUCCACAAAUCUCUUUACCCCCUCCUGAGAGGAGACCACCAGCUGCAUUCUUACAUAUAAAGUCCAAAGGGUUAUACAAAGCUGUCAUCCUCUAGUCUACAGUAUCCUUUCCCUCCACCUGCUGGUGGUGGUAGUGGGGGAUGGGGUGGGCUAGGGAAUGGCACCAUCACGUUUGAUUAUCUAAAAAGGAGAAAAAAAGCUUCAUUGUCUUAGAUACAGCUGCUCCCGAGAUUGUCUACAUAAGGUGUAUGGGUUAAAUACACACAUGCA